rnacentral:rRNA from 1 species
UACGAAGGGGCGAGCGUUGUUCGGAAUCACUGGGCGUAAAGGGCGCGUAGGCGGCCCUCCUUGUCGCGUGUGAAAGCCCCGGGCUCAACCUGGGAACGGCGCGCGAGACGGGGGGGCUGGAGUUCGGGAGAGGAGCGUGGAAUUCCCAGUGUAGAGGUGAAAUUCGUAGAUAUUGGGAAGAACACCGGUGGCGAAGGCGGCGCUCUGGACCGAGACUGACGCUGAGGCGCGAAAGCGUGGGAGCAAACAGG